rnacentral:tRNA from 1 species
UGCGGGGUGGAGCAGCAUGGUAGCUCGUCGGGCUCAUAACCCGAAGGUC